rnacentral:rRNA from 1 species
AUUGAACGCUGGCGGCAGGCCUAACACAUGCAAGUCGAGCGGAUGAAGGGAGCUUGCUCCUGGAUUCAGCGGCGGACGGGUGAGUAAUGCCUAGGAAUCUGCCUGGUAGUGGGGAUAACGUCCGGAAACGGGCGCUAAUACCGCAUACGUCCUGAGGGAGAAAGUGGGGGAUCUUCGGACCUCACGCUAUCAGAUGAGCCUAGGUCGGAUUAGCUAGUUGGUGGGGUAAAGGCCUACCAAGGCGACGAUCCGUAACUGGUCUGAGAGGAUGAUCAGUCACACUGGAACUGAGAGACGGUCCAGACUCCUACGGGAGGCAGCAGGGGGGAAUAUUGGACAAUGGGCGAAAGCCUGAUCCAGCCAUGCCGCGUGUGUGAAGAAGGUCUUCGGAUUGUAAAGCACUUUAAGUUGGGAGGAAGGGCAGUAAGUUAAUACCUUGCUGUUUUGACGUUACCAACAGAAUAAGCACCGGCUAACUUCGUG